UUGACCUCGAAUCAGGUAGGAAUACCCGCUGAACUUAAGCAUAUCAAUAAGCGGAGGAAAAGAAACCAACCGGGAUUACCUCAGUAACGGCGAGUGAAGCGGUAACAGCUCAAAUUUGAAAUCUGGCUCCCUUGGAGUCCGAGUUGUAAUUUGUAGAAGAUGCUUUGGGUUGUGGGUUCGGCCUAAGUUCCUUGGAACAGGACGUCAUAGAGGGUGAGAAUCCCGUACGUGGCCGAGGCCUGCGCCUAUGUAAAGCUCUUUCGACGAGUCGAGUUGUUUGGGAAUGCAGCUCAAAAUGGGUGGUAAAUUUCAUCUAAAGCUAAAUAUGGGCCAGAGACCGAUAGCGCACAAGUAGAGUGAUCGAAAGAUGAAAAGCACUUUGGAAAGAGAGUUAAACAGUACGUGAAAUUGUUGAAAGGGAAGCGCUUGCAACCAGACUUGGGCGCUGCCGAUCACCCUGAGUUCUCUCAGGUGCACUCGACAGCGCACAGGCCAGCAUCGGUUCGGGUGGCUGGAUAAAGGCCGUAGGAACGUAGCUCCUCUCGGGGAGUGUUAUAGCCUACGGUGCCAUGCAGCCCAGCCGGACCGAGGACCGCGCCUUCGGGCUAGGAUGCUGGCGUAAUGGUUGUAAGCGACCCGUCUUGAAACACGGACCAAGGAGUCUAACAUCUAUGCGAGUGUUUGGGCGUUAAACCCAUACGCGGAAUGAAAGUGAACGUAGGUGAGAACCCCUUUGGGGCGC
rnacentral:rRNA from 1 species